UGUUUCUGUUCCCUCGGGGGUUGGCUAAUCGGUUAUUUUGCGGAGAGGAAUGCUGUUCUUAUUUUAACUAAAUAGGACGUUUAGGGAGUGUAGCAAGAUGGUUAUAAGUAUAGAUUUUAGAAUUAAACAAUGAUUGGAUUCGAGCCCACCACCUGUGUUGUUGUUGUUUUUCAGUGGCUCAGUCAUUUCCGACUCUGCGACCCCAUGGACUGCAGCACGCCAGGCUUCCCUCCAUCACCAGCUCCUGGAGCUUGCUCAAACUCAUGUUCAUCGAGACUCCAGCUUCCAUGACUUGAGUUCCAAAGGGCAGAUCAGCCACAAAACCACCUGAGGCAAGAUUAAAGCUCAUCAAGAUUAGGAGACUGGUUGUUAAGACCAGCACACACCCUAUUAUUGUCAACAACCCCACUCUUGAAACUUCGCAAAGAAAGAAGCAUGUGUGACUUACCGCCUUGAUUCUUAUCACAUACACUUGCCUGACUAUAUAACCUCUUCCUCCACACUGGAGGGGUAGGAGGAAAGGGGAGUGGGACAGUUCUUGAGGCAUUAGCCUACUGCAGUCCCCCUUUGCCUGGCAAAGAAAUAAAACCACUCUUUCCUUCUCCUCCAUAACUCCGGCUCCCUAUUUUUGUUUGGCAUUAGCACAUAGACAGCCAAGAUUCUGGCAUCACCAUCUUCCUCCUAUUCCCCCGAAAAAGGGAUUUCAAGUCUUUCAGGCCUAAUUUACCAAAAAUGAUUCUCUUAUUCCAGAGUUCCAACUACUGGGCCUGUGGCAAUGUCCCUGGUUCAGGGACUGUCAUCCUUGACCUGAACGGGGACUUUCUUGUUUUAAAUGUGGUAAUGUGGUCGCCUCUAAAUUGGUCUCCCAACUUCCACCUGUCUUCCAGUGUUCACACUACAGUCAGGGUGAUUUUUUUAAAGUUUUAUUUAUUUUUGGCUGUGCUAGGUUUUCAUUGCUGUAUGGGCUUUUCUCUAGUUGCUGUGAGUAGGGGCUACCCUAUGGUCACCGUGCCCCGGUUUCUCACUGCGGUGGCUUCUCCUCUGGAGCACAGGGGGUUUCAGUUAUUGCGGCUCAAGGGCUCUGGAGCACAGGGUCGGUUGUGGUGCUCAGGCUUAGUUGCUAUGCGACAUGUGGAUCUUCCCAGAUCAGGGAUCAAACCCGCGUCUCCUACACUGGCAGAUGGAUUCUUUAUAACUGAGCCAGCAGGGAAGCCUCAGAAUGAUAUUUUUAAAUCACAAAUCUGUUCAUGCCACACUACUUUUAUCUUUUGGGUUUUUUUGUUUGUUUUUCUCUACUUAAAUGUUUUACUAUGCCUGCAUCAAAUUCCCUUGCACUGUUACAAGGU